CUAAUUGAUAAAAAGAUGGUGUGUGGAAAGCAAGUAGCUUGACUAUGACUUAAAGGUAACGAUAGUUGAUUUGGUAAUCAUAUCACUGCAGAAAAUGUGAGAACUGUAAGGACUUAGGUCGAUGUCGGCUUUGACCUUUAGACCUUUGGAUGGUGAUGGCUUUAAGAUAUUAUAAUCUUGGGUCCACAUGGUAUUAUAAUGUUAGCUUAUUAUCUCAUUGCUCAAUCAACAACCCACCAAAUUGUUAUUAAAUAAGUCCGACAGAAAUAAUAUCUUCUUCAACUACUCACGUCUUCUUUUAUAAAAGCAAGCCGUAGGACUAAAACCUUAUCUUAUCUUAGAGCAGAGAUGCGUGACAUCAAAGGCUUACUCAUCCUAUCGAUCAUCUUACUCCUGGUCUUUUCUCAGUGCCUUCUUUUGUGCUCAGGUCAUGGCGAUGACGAAGCUGGUGCGACAAGGAAGCUUGGAGUCUUCAUAAGGAGAAGGGCAAGAAGAUUCAGAGGACAUCGCCCCACAUCUGCUUCUACAACACUUUUGUCAGGCUCCUUUCAUAUGACUGCUUGCCUUGCCACCUCUUUCCUGCUUUCUCUUCUUAUCUAGACUUAGGUCGAUGUCGGCUUUGCCCUAUGGUUGAUGAUCGCUUUGCGAUAUAGGACACCUACUUUCCCAGUCUAGGCGAUGAUGAAGCUGGUGUGACAAGGAAGCUUGGAGCAUUCAUAAAAAAAGGCGCAAGAUACGGGAGGCGUCCCACCACCACAUCUGAUUCUGCAACACUUUUGUCAGGUUCCUUCCAUAUGAUUACUUGCCUUGCCACCUCUUUCCUUCUUUUUCUCCUUUUCUAGGUUUCUUCUACUGUCAAAAGUAGUUUUCCUUUUUACUUUCCCUACAAGAAUUGAUAUGAUUGAUAGUCGUAAUACGCCUUUGUAAUGUCAACAAGAACUCAAAAGUAUAUUAACUCACAUAAAUUGAAUUAUACA